CCUACGGGGGGCAGCAGUGAGGAAUAUUGGUCAAUGGACGAGAGUCUGAACCAGCCAAGUAGCGUGCAGGAUGACUGCCCUAUGGGUUGUAAACUUCUUUUAUAUGGGAAUAAAAUGUUCCACGUGUGGGAUUUUGUAUGUACCAUAUGAAUAAGGAUCGGCUAACUCCGUGCCAGCAGCCGCGGUAAUACGGAGGAUCCGAGCGUUAUCCGGAUUUAUUGGGUUUAAAGGGAGCGUAGGUGGAUUGUUAAGUCAGUUGUGAAAGUUUGCGGCUCAACCGUAAAAUUGCAGUUGAAACUGGCAGUCUUGAGUACAGUAGAGGAGGGCGGAAUUCGUGGUGUAGCGGUGAAAUGCUUAGAUAUCACGAAGAACUCCGAUUGCGAAGGCAGCUCACUGGACUGCAACUGACACUGAGGCUCGAAAGUGUGGGGAUCAAACAGGAUUAGAUACCCUAGUAGUC
rnacentral:rRNA from 1 species